AGAGUUUGAUCCUGGCUCAGGACGAACGCUGGCGGCGUGCUUAACACAUGCAAGUCGAGCGGUAAGGCCCCUUCGGGGGUACACGAGCGGCGAACGGGUGAGUAACACGUGAGCAAUCUGCCCAUCACAUCGGGAUAACUUCGGGAAACCGAAGCUAAUACCGAAUACGACCACUUCAGGCAUCUGACGGUGGUGGAAAGUUCCGGCGGUGAUGGAUGAGCUCGCGGCCUAUCAGCUUGUUGGUGGGGUAAUGGCCCACCAAGGCUUCGACGGGUAGCCGGCCUGAGAGGGUGACCGGCCACACUGGGACUGAGACACGGCCCAGACUCCUACGGGAGGCAGCAGUGGGGAAUAUUGGACAAUGGGCGAAAGCCUGAUCCAGCAACGCCGCGUGAGGGAUGACGGCCUUCGGGUUGUAAACCUCUUUCAGCAGGGACGAAGCGCAAGUGACGGUACCUGCAGAAGAAGCACCGGCCAACUACGUGCCAGCAGCCGCGGUAAUACGUAGGGUGCAAGCGUUGUCCGGAAUUAUUGGGCGUAAAGGGCUCGUAGGCGGUUUGUCGCGUCGGGAGUGAAAACUCAGGGCUUAACCCUGAGCCUGCUUCCGAUACGGGCAGACUAGAGGUAUGCAGGGGAGAAUGGAAUUCCUGGUGUAGCGGUGAAAUGCGCAGAUAUCGGGAGGAACACCAGUAGCGAAGGCGGCUCGCUGGGCCACACCUGACGCUGAGACGCGAAAGCUAGGGGAGCGAACAGGAUUAGAUACCCCCGUAGUCC
rnacentral:rRNA from 1 species